GAGGUAGAGAGGAGAGGUAGAGAGGAGAGGUAGAGGAGGAGAGGUAGAGAGGAGAGGCGGAGUGGUAGAGAGGAGAGGUAGAGGAGGAGAGGUAGAGGAGGAGUGGUAGAGGAGGAGUGGUAGAGGAGGAGAGGUAGAGAGGAGAGGUAGAGAGGAGAGGUAGAGAGGAGAGGUAGAGAGGAGAGGUAGAGAGGAGAGGUAGAGAGGAGAGGUAGAGAGGAGAGGUAGAGAGGAGAGGUAGAGAGGAGAGGUAGAGAGGAGAGGAGAGGUAGAGAGGAGAGGU